UACGGGGGGGGGUAAGCGUUGUUCGGAAUUACUGGGCGUAAAGGGCUCGUAGGCGGCCAACUAAGUCAGACGUGAAAUCCCCAGGCUUAACCUGGGAACUGCAUCCGAUACUGGAUGGCUUGAAUCCGGGAGAGGGAUGCAGAAUUCCAGGUGUAGCGGUGAAAUGCGGAGAUAUCUGGAGGAAUACCGGUGGCGAAGGCGGCAUCCUGGACCGGCAUUGACGCUGAUGAGCGAAAGCUAGGGGAGCAAACGGG
rnacentral:rRNA from 1 species